rnacentral:tRNA from 1 species
AUUUAAAUAGCUUAAAAAUGAGAGUUUAAUAUUGAAGAUAUUACGGUGAUAUUUAUUAUCUUUAAAUA